rnacentral:rRNA from 1 species
AGAGUUUGAUCAUGGCUCAGAACGAACGCUGGCGGCAUGCCUAAUACAUGCAAGUCGAACGCGUCUAGCAAUAGACGAGUGGCGGACGGGUGAGUAACGCGUGGGAACCUGCCCUUGAGUGCGGGAUAACCGAGGGAAACUUCGGCUAAUACCGCAUGCGCCCCGGGCAACUGGGGGAAAGAUUUAUCGCUCGAGGAGGGGCCCGCGUCGGAUUAGCUAGUUGGUGGGGUAACGGCCUACCAAGGCGAUGAUCCGUAGCUGGUCUGAGAGGAUGAUCAGCCACACUGGGACUGAGACACGGCCCAGACUCCUACGGGAGGCAGCAGUAGGGAAUAUUGGACAAUGGGGGCAACCCUGAUCCAGCAAUGCCGCGUGAGUGAUGAAGGCCUUAGGGUUGUAAAGCUCUUUCGCGCGCGACGAUGAUGACGGUAGCGCGAGAAGAAGCCCCGGCUAACUUCGUGCCAGCAGCCGCGGUAAUACGAAGGGGGCGAGCGUUGUUCGGAAUUACUGGGCGUAAAGGGCGCGCAGGCGGCCGAUCAAGUCAGGCGUGAAAGCCCCGGGCUUAACCUGGGAAUUGCGCUUGGGACUGGUUGGCUUGAGUUCGGGAGAGGAGAGUGGAAUUCCCAGUGUAGAGGUGAAAUUCGUAGAUAUUGGGAAGAACACCGGUGGCGAAGGCGGCUCUCUGGACCGAUACUGACGCUGAGGCGCGAAAGCGUGGGGAGCAAACAGGAUUAGAUACCCUAGUAGUCC